GCUUGUCUCAAAGAUUAAGCCAUGCAUGUCUAAGUAUAAGCCUUUAUAUGGUGAGACUGCGAAUGGCUCAUUAAAUCAGAAACUGUUUAUUUGAUAGUGCCUACUACAUGGAUACCUGUAGUAAUUCUAGAGCUAAUACAUGCAAAAAGCCUGGACUUCUGGAAGGGUUGUAUUUAUUAGACUUAAGCCAAUAUUCCUUGUGUCUAUUGCGAUGAUUCAUAAUAACUGAUCGAAUCUCAAAUUUGAGAUAAAUCAUUCAAGUUUCUGCCCUAUCAGCUUUCGAUGGUAGUGUAUUGGACUACCAUGGCAGUAACGGGUAACGAAGAAUUAGGGUUCGAUUUCGGAGAGGGAGCAUGAGAAACGGCUACCACAUCUAAGGAAGGCAGCAGG
rnacentral:rRNA from 1 species